UACGGAGGGUGCAAGCGUUAAUCGGAAUGACUGGGCGUAAAGGGCAUGUAGGCGGAUGAUUAAGUUAGGUGUGAAAGCCCCGAGCUCAACUUGGGAAUUGCACUUAAAACUGGUCGUCUGGAGUAUUGUAGAGGAAGGUAGAAUUCCAGGUGUAGCGGUGAAAUGCGUAGAGAUCUGGAGGAAUACCGGUGGCGAAGGCGGCCCCCUGGACAAAGACUGACGCUCAGGUGCGAAAGCGUGGGGAGCAAACAGG
rnacentral:rRNA from 1 species